GACGUAGGGCGCGAGCGUUGUCCGGAUUUAUUGGGCGUAAAGAGCGUGUAGGCGGCCAGGUAGGUCUGCUGUGAAAACUCGAGGCUCAACCUCGAGAUGUCGGCGGAAACCAUCUGGCUAGAGUCCGGAAGAGGAAAGUGGAAUUCCUGGUGUAGCGGUGAAAUGCGCAGAUAUCAGGAAGAACACCCGUGGCGAAGGCGGCUUUCUGGGACGGUACUGACGCUGAGACGCGAAAGCGUGGGGAGCGAACAGG
rnacentral:rRNA from 1 species